rnacentral:rRNA from 1 species
CGGGGAAUAUUGGACAAUGGGCGCAAGCCUGAUGCCAGCAAUGCCGCGUGUGUGAAGAAGGCCUUCGGGUUGUAAAGCACUUUUGUCCCGGAAAGAAAUCCUUGGCUCUAAUACAGUCGGGGGGAUGACGGUACCGGAAGAAUAAGCACCGGCUAACUACGUGCCAGCAGCCGCGGUAAUACGUAGGGUGCAAGCGUUAAUCGGAAUUACUGGGCGUAAAGCGUGCGCAGGCGGUUUGCUAAGACCGAUGUGAAAUCCCCGGGCUCAACCUGGGAACUGCAUUGGUGACUGGCAGGCUAGAGUAUGGCAGAGGGGGGUAGAAUUCCACGUGUAGCAGUGAAAUGCGUAGAGAUGUGGAGGAAUACCGAUGGCGAAGGCAGCCCCCUGGGCCAAUACUGACGCUCAUGCACGAAAGCGUGGGGAGCAAACAGGAUUAGAUACCCUGGUAGUCCACGCCCUAAACGAUGUCAACUAGUUGUUGGGGAUUCAUUUCCUUAGUAACGUAGCUAACGCGUGAAGUUGACCGCCUGGGGAGUACGGUCGCAAGAUUAAAAC